ACUCAAAGGAAUAGACGGGGGCCCGCACAAGCAGCGGAGCGUGUGGUUUAAUUCGACGCAACGCGUAUCACCUUACCAGGGUUUGACAUCCCCAGAACCCCCAUGAAAGUGGGGGGUGCCCGCAAGGGAGCUGGGAGACAGGUGUUGCAUGGCUGUCGUCAGCUCGUGUCGUGAGAUGUUGGGUUAAGUCCCGCAACGAGCGCAACCCCCGUGGCUAGUUACGUGGUUGUCUAGCCAGACUGCCGGUACAAAACCGGAGGAAGGUGGGGAUGAUGUCAAGUCCGCAUGACCCUUACACCCUGGGCGACACACACGCUACAAUGGCCGGGACAGUGGGCAGCCAAGCGGUAACGCGGAGCCAAUCCCCCAAACCCGGUCUCAGUUCAGAUCGUGGGCUGCAACUCGCCCACGUGAAGGCGGAGUUGCUAGUAACCGCAGAUCAGCAGUGCUGCGGUGAAUAUGUUCCCGGGCCUUGUACACACCGCCCGU
rnacentral:rRNA from 1 species